AGGAUGAACGCUAGCGGGAGGCUUAACACAUGCAAGUCGAGGGGCAGCAUAGGGUAGCAAUACUCUGAUGGCGACCGGCAAACGGGUGAGUAACGCGUAUGCAAUCUACCUUGUACAGGGGAAUGGCCCAGAGAAAUUUGGAUUAAUGCCCCAUAGUAUAUAACCUUCGCAUGUUGGUUAUAUUAAAGUUCCAACGGUACAAGAUGAGCAUGCGUCCCAUUAGUUAGUUGGUAAGGUAACGGCUUACCAAGACGAUGAUGGGUAGGGGUCCUGAGAGGGAGAUCCCCCACACUGGUACUGAGACACGGACCAGACUCCUACGGGAGGCAGCAGUGAGGAAUAUUGGUCAAUGGUCGCAAGACUGAACCAGCCAUGCCGCGUGCAGGAAGACGGUCCUAUGGAUUGUAAACUGCUUUUAUACAGGAAGAAACCCUCCCACGUGUGGGAGCUUGACGGUACUGUAGGAAUAAGGAUCGGCUAACUCCGUG
rnacentral:rRNA from 1 species